rnacentral:rRNA from 1 species
GACGUAGGAGGCGAGCGUUGUCCGGAAUCAUUGGGCGUAAAGAGCACGCAGGCGGUUUGGCAAGUCGGAUGUGAAAACCCGAAGCUCAACUUCGGGCCUGCAUCCGAAACUGCCCGACUAGAGGUAGGUAGGGGAGAUCGGAAUUCCUGGUGUAGCGGUGAAAUGCGCAGAUAUCAGGAGGAACACCGAUGGCGAAGGCAGGUCUCUGGGCAUUAACUGACGCUGAGGAGCGAAAGCAUGGGGAGCGAACAGG